UACGGAGGGAGCAAGCGUUACUCGGAAUUACUGGGCGUAAAGGGCGCGUAGGCGAUUUUGUAAGUCUUGUGUGAAAGCCCAAAGCCUAACUUUGGAAGUGCAUAAGAUACUGCGAGAAUUGAGUUCCGGAGAGGAAGGCGGAAUUCUCGGUGUAGAGGUGAAAUUCGUAGAUAUCGAGAGGAACAUCUGCGGCGAAGGCGGCCUUCUGGACGGUGACUGACGCUGAGAUGCGAAAGCGUGGGGAGCAAACAGG
rnacentral:rRNA from 1 species